rnacentral:rRNA from 1 species
UACAGAGGUCCCAAGCGUUGUUCGGAUUCACUGGGCGUAAAGGGUGCGUAGGUGGUGGGGUAAGUCGGAUGUGAAAGCUCGGAGCUCAACUCCGAAAUGGCAUUGGAAACUACCCUGCUAGAGGAUUGGAGGGGGGACUGGAAUACUUGGUGUAGCAGUGAAAUGCGUAGAUAUCAAGUGGAACACCAGUGGCGAAGGCGAGUCCCUGGACAAUUCCUGACACUGAGGCACGAAAGCUAGGGGAGCAAACAGG